ACGGAAGGCAGCAGUGAGGAAUAUUGGUCAAUGGGCGGAAGCCUGAACCAGCCAAGUCGCGUGAAGGAUGAAGGUAUUAUGUAUUGUAAACUUCUUUAGACGCAGAGAAAUAAGCAGGUCGUGACCUGUGAUGCUAGUAUGCGUAGAAUAAGGAUCGGCUAACUCCGUGCCAGCAGCCGCGGUAAUACGGAGGAUCCGAGCGUUAUCCGGAUUUAUUGGGUUUAAAGGGUGCGCAGGCGGUUUGUUAAGUCAGCGGUUAAAUCGUGGAGCUCAACUCCAUCCCGCCGUUGAUACUGGCAGACUUGAUUGCGGUUGAGGUUGGCGGAAUUCGUCGUGUAGCGGUGAAAUGCAUAGAUAUGACGAAGAACACCGAUUGCGUAGGCAGCUGACCAAGCCGUAAAUGACGCUCAUGCACGAAAGUGCGGGGAUCGAACAGGAUUAGAUACCCUGGUA
rnacentral:rRNA from 1 species